rnacentral:rRNA from 1 species
AUUGAACGCUGGCGGCAGGCCUAACACAUGCAAGUCGAGCGGAUGAAGGGAGCUUGCUCCUGGAUUCAGCGGCGGACGGGUGAGUAAUGCCUAGGGAUCUGCCUGGUAGUGGGGGAUAACGUCCGGAAACGGGCGCUAAUACCGCAUACGUCCUGAGGGAGAAAGUGGGGGAUCUUCGGACCUCACGCUAUCAGAUGAGCCUAGGUCGGAUUAGCUAGUUGGUGGGGUAAAGGCCUACCAAGGCGACGAUCCGUAACUGGUCUGAGAGGAUGAUCAGUCACACUAGAACUGAGACACGGUCCAGACUCCUACGGGAGGCAGCAGUGGGGAAUAUUGGACAAUGGGCGAAAGCCUGAUCCAGCCAUGCCGCGUGUGUGAAGAAGGUCUUCGGAUUGUAAAGCACUUUAAGUUGGGAGGAAGGGCAGUAAGUUAAUACCUUGCUGUUUUGACGUUACCAACAGAAUAAGCACCGGCUAACUUCGUG